AACGAACGCUGGCGGCGUGCCUAACACAUGCAAGUCGAACGGGGAUGAGGUGCUUGCACUUCAUUCUAGUGGCGCACGGGUGAGUAACGCGUGGAUAAUCUGCCUGAUGCUCUGGGAUAACACUUCGAAAGGGGUGCUAAUACCGGAUAAGCCCACGGGGUCUUCGGACCUUGCGGGAAAAGGGGGGGACCUUCGGGCCUCCUGACAUCAGAUGAGUCCGCGUACCAUUAGCUAGUUGGCGGGGUAAAGGCCCACCAAGGCGACGAUGGUUAGCUGGUUUGAGAGAAUGAUCAGCCACACUGGAACUGAGACACGGUCCAGACUCCUACGGGAGGCAGCAGUGGGGAAUUUUGCGCAAUGGGCGAAAGCCUGACGCAGCAACGCCGCGUGAGUGAUGAAGGCCUUCGGGUCGUAAAGCUCUGUCAAGAGGGAAGAAGUGUAUGGCGGUUAAUACCCGUUAUGCUUGACGGUACCUCUGGAGGAAGCACCGGCUAACUCCGUGCCAGCAGCCGCGGUAAUACGGAGGGUGCAAGCGUUGUUCGGAAUUAUUGGGCGUAAAGCGCGUGUAGGCGGUUUCUUAAGUCUGAUGUGAAAGCCCCGGGCUCAACCUGGGAAGUGCAUUGGAUACUGGGAGACUUGAGUACGGGAGAGGGUAGUGGAAUUCCCAGUGUAGGAGUGAAAUCCGUAGAUAUUGGGAGGAACACCGGUGGCGAAGGCGGCUGCCUGGACCGAUACUGACGCUGAGACGCG
rnacentral:rRNA from 1 species